GCGAGACUCUCAUCUUUUUCUCUCUGUGCGACUCUCUCAUCUUUUUCUCUCUGUGCGACUCUCUCCCGUCUCUCUCUGAGAAAUCUUAAAAGGGUUUUUGAUUUCCCAGAAAAAGAGUAAAGAUUUUCGACAAUGGAGUGCCAAACUAAAAUCGACGUAGCCCUGGAUGCGAAGGAGCUUCACGCGUCAUCAGGCCUGCACAGCGUCUUCGUUUAUGUGCAGAGCGAGACAAAGGAAUCUGUCAAAUACCCAGAUGGCCGCGAAAACAAUAUCGGGAUUUACCCGAAUUCCUCCACCAAAUUCGUCAAAUUCGACCUUCGUAGCUCCGAUUCCGGCGACAUCUACCAACUCCUAUGCGACGAUCUCCGAGAUCCUCCUAUGUGCGAAUACUUGGCCCCGCAGAUCGCUGAUUCGGUUGCGGAGAUGAGUUCCAGUUGCGAAAGCUUCUUCGUGUUCGUGGAAGUGAGACUGACCGAAGAGAUAACCUUCUCCGUGUCGGAAUCUGACGUCUGCUGUAUCUGCCUGGAGAGCUUUGGGGAUUCGGGUAAGUAUCUGAGUGAUUUGCCAUGCUCUCACGUCUUUCACCGUCUCUGUCUCGACCAAUGGCUUGUCCGGAAAGACUCCUGCCCCCUGUGCCGGCGGCCCUGUCUCUGACGAGUUAAAAAAAUCCAAAAUAUGGGCUUGAAUCGGCCAUAUUGUUACAGGGACUGUUCAUGUAGAAAAUAGAUUUUGUUACAGGGAGUAGUAUUUUGUCUCCGUAAGUUUUGGAAUUCUGUAGAUUUUUAGGGUUGAAUCUCGCAAUACCUUGGGGGGGGGUGAUCUGUUUCGUCAUUGAUAAGGAUCAAUUUAGUUUCCAUACGGAGGCUUGCUGCUGCACAUCCAGGAACAAAAAAAGAAUGAGAGAGACAAGAAGGAACCCUCUGAUGCAGAUUUCGCUCUAAAGCUAGUUCUUCGAGCACAUUGGCUGGAAAAGGUUUUAGAUUUUGGUAGAUGCAAAGGAAGAUGAUUUAAGUUUUCUAGGGCAAAAGGAAGCAUUACAGACAAGGUUUUGCAUGACCUCCUCCAAAGCAGUGAUUCAGCCCGAAAGUACUUGCAAGGUUCUAGAAACGUGAAGCCGGACAGUUGGAUCCUGCUCGAUAAUUUUGUACCAUCCUCAGGCUCUACAAAGGCCUUGCAGAAGAAUUCAAAACGCCCUAAAAGGCGUGUAUGUCUAUGAAACAACUCAAGAAAUCUGGAGCUUUGCAAUUGCCUAAGGAAACCCAAAAAUGCAGGUUUGAUUUGUUUAAGCCAAUGCAUGAGAUGUGGGAAGGAUACAUGAAACAGCUCAUCAAGGCAACAGGGAAGAACCAGCUAGCUCAAUCUCUAAUCUCUGCAGAUUUUCACGGUGCACAAUCUGUACUUCUCCGGCUCUUGUUAGUUGAAAACCACCAGAGACCCCCAGCUCACAUGACCUGUCCGUUAGAAAAUCUUGCAUCAUUGCCACUGGUUCUUUCACUUGUUGUAGUUGCCGAAUGCAAGAUCGAAUCAUUCACCGGAGCACAUGGCAUAACGGUGCGAGAGACAUCAUAUCCAGGCCACGGAUACCCGGAUCUCAUUGAGACGUUUUUUCGAUUAGAACUUUCGGAUCCGAAGCCAAGGCCGGGUACCCUAAAAGAUAACCAGGCCGGAUAAUUGCAUUUCGGUUCCUUGUGUACACUAUUCUCAUGGGUUUUGGUCAGUUGUUUUGUGGGUAUUUGACUGAUUACAUUCCAGUUCUCUUGAUGGAAUUUGACACCUAGGGAGGCACUGAUCUAGCUUUCUACGUUCUGGAUUUGCCACUCGUCUAUGGUGAUUUACAUGUUCAUAUAUCCAGAUAGAUUCCAUGGAAUGUGUGUAAAAUGUCGGUUGCUUGUAAAAAAAACCGCAGCAAGUGUAUUUUCCUUUCGUUGAAUUAAUCCGGUAAAAGAAUA